CGUGUAGGCGGCACAGAAAGCCUGAUGUGAAAUACCCCGGCUCAACUGGGGAAACGCAUUGGGAACUACUGAGCUAGAGUCUAGGAGGGGAAGCUGGAAUUCCUGGUGUAGGGGUGAAAUCUGUAGAUAUCAGGAAGAACACCGGUGGCGAAGGCGAGCUUCUGGCCAUAGACUGACGCUGAGGCGCGAAAGCGUGGGGAGCGAACAGGAUUAGAUACCCUGGUAGUC
rnacentral:rRNA from 1 species